AUGCUUAGUGGCAGACGGGUGAGUAACGCGUAGAUAAUGUGCCCUCUUGCGGGGGAUACCGUUUCGAAAGGAACGUUAAUACCGCAUAACACCCUUGGUGGGCAUCCAUCGAGGGUCAAACUUCCGGGGCGGGAGGAGCAAUCUGCGUUCUAUCAGGUAGUUGGUGGGGUAAUGGCCCACCAAGGCGACGAUCGCUAGCUGGUCUGAGAGGAUGAUCAGCCACACUGGGACUGAGACACGGCCCAGACUCCUACGGGAGGCAGCAGUGGGGAAUAUUGGACAAUGGGCGCAAGCCUGAUCCAGCAAUGCCGCGUGUGUGAAGAAGGCCUUCGGGUUGUAAAGCACUUUUAUCAGGAGCGAAAUACCACGGGUUAAUACCCUAUGGGGCUGACGGUACCUGAGGAAUAAGCACCGGCUAACUUCGUGCCAGCAGCCGCGGUAAUACGAAGGGUGCAAGCGUUAAUCGGAAUUACUGGGCGUAAAGGGUGCGUAGGCGGUUACUUAAGUCUGUCGUGAAAUCCCCGGGCUCAACCUGGGAAUGGCGAUGGAUACUGGGUGGCUAGAGUGUGUC
rnacentral:rRNA from 1 species